rnacentral:ncRNA from 1 species
UACUCUGGAGAAACCCGCACAGGCGGGGGCCGAAGGUGUAAGACCGAAGGGAAAGCGGUCGAAUCUCUCAGGCAAAAGGACAGAGCG